rnacentral:lncRNA from 10 species
CAUUAAUUCAUUUAAAUGAAAGAAAACAUAUCAUUAUUCUAAUAUGGCUAAGCAGAGCCAAGCUGUUGUGAGAUUUGCAUAGACAUAUCAUCAAAUGGCAAUAUCUGAUCAGUGACAACACACCUUCCAGUCUACAUAUUUUUCCUAGUUGUGUGAUAUACCUUUGAUAUAAUAUCAGUGUUACAAAAAUUAUAAUUCCACUCACUAAUUUGUAGUUGCUUUAUAAAAGCACUCUCUGAGUUGAAUUAUUUCAUCCAGAGCUCCUGACACACAACUUGAUUUUAGCUAGAAAAGCCAGUCAAAUAAUAUUUCAGAAGCUAUCAACAAAAAAAGUCAACAGAUUACCCUACAUAAUAAUAAAGAUCUUUUAUAUUAAAAAUGUCAUAAAUACAGUUAAUAGACAAGCAAUAUUUUAGGGAAAAAAUGUACAACAUAUAUAAAGGGCAACAGUUUAGUAUAUAAUAACCUCCUAAAAUAAAUAGAGUAAAUUAAUCAGUAGAAUAAUGGACAAAAGAAAGGUACAAAUACUUGAUUUAAAAAACUAUGAAACAAACUACAGUUUGCCAACAAACAGAAAAAGAUGUUCAAGAAAACCAGCAAUUUUUUUGUGACAAUCAAUUCAAACCAAAAAAAUUAAAACUAUACACCUAUUAGAUUAUUUUUAAAAAUUAUUCUUAAUAUUCAGUUAACAUUGAUAUUAGAGUGAUAUUUUAUCUAAGUUGAUUUUUACAGAAAUAUUUAACCUAUUUAUGUGGGUGUGUGAAUGUUCACUGAAACACUGUUUAUAAUGGCUACAUUUUACUCAUAAUAUAAAUAUCCACUGAUUAGGGAAUGGUUAAACCAUGUGUGAUGCAUUCAUUUGUAAAAAUUACAAAAUCAUUAAGUCUUUCCAAAAGCUAAGAGUUCUAAAAUAAUGUUCUAGGAGGACAGAGUUUAAAAAAGCAAAAACAAAAAGUGAUUUGAAAAUUAUGCAUAAGUAUUAAUAUAUUUCAUCCCACAUGUUACAAAAAAUUAUAUAUGUUUGUGUCUAUGUAUGUACACAUACAAAUGCAUAGACAUACUCAUAUCAAAUUUUUUAUUAUUGUUACCAAUUGGUAUAAGAUUAGAUAAUUAAAGUAGGGCUUUUCCUUGCAUCAUGUAUACUUGUUUAGUUUUCGACUAUUUGCUUUUUUACAAUGAAAAUACAUUGAUCUGCUGCUAGUUUGCUUAAAUUGUUUUCGUUUUAAAAUGGUAAAAUAUAAAAUAGCUAACAUCAAAGCUAUUCCAAAAUUUAAUUAUUUUAGAACAAGAAUUUUACCUGGAAUGAUAAAUUUCCAGAAGUUAUAUUUUUAAAAUUUUAAUGAUGAGAAAAUGCUAAAAGUAUUUAAUUACAGGUAUUAGAUGUGUCAUUUCUUUGUAAAAGUAUAUAAUGUCCUUACAAUUUUCAAGCUAUAAAUAUGUAAAUUUAAAAAAAUUAUCUUGAUUACACUGCUGGAAAUAGUCAAAGAUUUAUUGGGGCUUACUAUGAAUUCCAAUCAGUGAUAGUUAACUGGAGCCCCAUGGUGAUCACUUAGUCAAUAUCAGAUAAGCUAUGAGGACAUUUCUGAUUAUCACAUUCUUAUCAGAUUAAAUUUAUUUCCAGCAAUAACUACUCAGUGGGUUCCACUUGGAACUCUUAUUACUGCUUCUGCGGGAUAUAACAUUUAAGAGGGUAGAGUAUUGAUGACAUUGAACAAACACAUAAAACUUCAUUUGACUUUAGGUUGAUCUUCACUACCUUGCAGAAACAGUGCCUUACUUAGUUUUUCAUUCAUGUAGCCUAUUUCUGCUGAUGUUUAUUCUUUGUUUUCAACUGAUAACUAUAUUUAAAUCACAUAUCUUUCUUUUUUAUUUUGUUUUUGUUUUGUAAGUAGUUGUCUCAUUUGCUAUUGGAAUUCUGGAGUUAACAUUGUCAAAGGACUUUAGUUUAAGCCUUCGUAUGUUCAUUCAUAUUCAAGCUGAGAGAAAGCACCUAUACUGAAUUAGUAAGCCGUGCUUUUAUGAACCAGAUGCUGAUCCCAAAAAGUCCUCAAUAAAUAGAACCCUUUCUGUUUCUAGGUUUCUGAACAGACUGAACAAGAAUAUCUAACACUUCUACAGUUAUUCAGUUCUUAUACAUACCAGUCAGGGACCCCAGAUGGAGGGACAGAGUGAAGCUGCAGCAGAAGAACAUAAAUUGUGAAGAUUUCAUGGACAUUUAUCAGUUCCCAAAAUUAAUACUUUUAUAAUUUCUUAUGCCUGUCUUUACUGCAAUCUCUGAACAUAAAUUGUGAAGGUUUCAUGGACAUUUAUCACUUCCCUAAUAAUACUCUUAUAAUUUCUUAUGUCUGAUUUUACUUUAAUAUCUUAAUCCCGUUAUCUUUGUAAGCUGAGAAUGUAUGUCACCUCAGGAUCAGUAUUGUACAAAUUGAUUGUAAAACAUGUGUGUUUGAACAAUAUGAAAUCAGUGCACCUUAAAAAGGAAUAGAAUAACAGUGAUUUUCAGGGAAUAAGGGAAGAUAACCAUAAGGUCUGACUGUCUGUGGGUUGGGCAGAAUAGAGCCAUAUUUUUCUUCUUGCAGAGAGCCUAUAAAAGGACGUGUGAGUAGGAGAGAUAUCACUGAAUUCUUUUCCCAGCAAGGAAUAUUAAUAAUUAAUACCCCGGGGAAGGAAUGCAUUACUUGGGGGAGGUCCAUAAACGGCCGCUCUGGGAGUGUCUGUCUUACGUGGUUGAGAUAAGGCCUGAAAUACUCCCUGGUCUCCUGCAGUACCCUCGGGCUUACUAGGAUUGGGAAAUUCCAGCCUGGUAAAUUCUAGUCAGACCGGUUCUCUGCUCUCAUCAGACCUGUUUCCUGUUAAGAUGUUUAUCAAGACAAUAGAUGCACAGCAGGACAUAGACCCUCAUCAGUAAUUCUAAUUUUGCCUCCACCUUGUGAUCUUUCUCGCCCUUGGAAGCAUGUGAUCUUUGUGACCUACUCCCUGCUCGUACACCCUCUGCCCUUUUAAAAUCCCUAAUAAAAACUUGCUGGUUUUGCGGCUCAGGGUCAUCAUCACGGUCCUACCAAUAUGUAAUGUCACCCCUGGAGGCCCAGCUGUAGAAUUUCUCUCUUUGUACCCUUUCUCUGUAUUUCUCAGACCGGCCAACACUUAGGGAAAAUAGAAAGGACCUAAGUUAAAAUAUUGGGGGCUGGUUCCCCCAAUUGUAUGUAGUAGGCAUAUAUAUUUAUGGGGUAAAACUAAGCAUAUUUUUAAUGCAUGGAAUAAGACUAGAAAUUAAUAAUAAGAAAUUUUGGAAAGUAUAAAAAUACAUAGAAAUCAUUUAUUCAAAAAUUAUGUUUUAUUUGCAUAAAUUUAAGGGAUACAGGUGCAGUUUUUUUGCAUGGAUAUAUUGCAUAAUGGUCAAGUCUGGGAUUUUAGUGUAGCCAUCAUCCAAAUAACAUACAUUGUACCCAUUAAGUAAUGUCUCAUUCCUCACCUCAUUUCCAUCCUCCCACCAUUCUGAGUCUUCAGUGUUUAUUAUUCCACAUUCUAUGUUCAUAUAUACACAUUAUUUAGCUCUCAUUCAUAAAUGAGACCAUAUGGUAUUGGACUUUCUAUUUCUGAGUUGUCUCACUUAAGGGCCUCUAGUUCACCCAUGUUGCUGCAGAAGACACAAUUGCCUUCUUUUUAAAGGCUAAAUAGUAUUCCAUUGUGUGUAUAUACAUAUAUAUACAUGGGGACUAGCAGUAAUGCACGAAGUACAUAAAAGCACCUAUGUAAUAGUGCUAAUUGAUUAGUACUGACAUGGUAGUCAAAGUAUGUGCUGAGAAAGAAUUCAUACACAGUUAAGAGAUCUAUAUACAUGCAUAUAUAUGAGAAAUUUUCUUUAUCCAGUCGCCUGUUGAUAGACACUUAGGUUGAUUCUAUAUCUUUGCUGUUAUGAAUAAUGCUGUAAUAAAUAUAUGUGUGCAGGUAUCUUUCUGACAUAAUGAUUUCUCUUUUCUUUGGACAGAUAUCCAGAAGUGGGAUUACUGGAUUGAAUGGUGGUUCUAUUGUUAGUUCUUUGAGAAAUUUCCCUAGUAUUUUCCAUAGAGGUUGUACUAAUUUACAUUCCCACUAACAGUGUAUAAGCAUUUCUUUUUCUCCACAUCCUUGCCAACAUCUGUUAUUUUUUGACUUGUAAUAAUAGUCAUUCUGACUGGGGUAAGAUGAUAUCUCAUGAUGGUUCUUAUUCAUAUUUCUCUAAUAAUUAUCUACAGCAUUUUUCAUAUGCUUAUUGGUUAUUUGUAUGUCUUUUGAAAAAUGCCUAUUCAUGUUUUUUGCCCACUUUUUAAUGGGGCUAUUUGUGUUUUUAAUGUUAUUGUUUGAUAUCCUUGUAUAUUAUAUUCUGGAUAUUAUUCCCCUAUAAGAUGAAUAGUUUACAAAUAUUUUCUCCCAUUCUGCAGGUCUUCUCUUUACUCUGUUGAUUAUUUAUUUUGCUGUAAAGAAGCUUUUUAGUUUAAGUAAGUCCUAUUUGUCUAUUUUUGUUUUUGUUUCUUUGCUUUGAGAUCCUAGUCACGAAUUAUUUGCCUAGACCAAUGUCCAGAAGCGUUUUCUCUAGAUUUUCUUUUAGUAUUUUCAUAGUUCUCGGUCUAUUGUGACAUAUGUAUCCAUAUUUUUAUGCAUUUUCUAGUAUUGUACUUGAUAGUUUUCAUUUGGUUCAUAAUUAAUUAAAUGAAAAUAUAUAGUAGAAGCUUUUCAUGUAACAAUAACAUCAAUUAUUUUGUCUGUUAUAUAUGUUCCCAUAUGGAACAAAGGCUUUUAGGCAGAAACAUGCCUGGUGUUUUGGAGAGACAAAACAGUGAUGACUUGUGUAGUAAUAAAUGAAGAACAUGGUAUUAAGAGUUGAUGUCUGUGGUGGGGCAUUGACAGCCUUAUGGACUUUUCUUUUUUUUUUUUUUGAGACAGAGUCUCACUCGGUCACCCAGGCUGGAGUGGAGUGCAGUGGCAUGAUAUCAGCUCACUGCAAGCUCUGCCUCCCGGGUUCACGUCAUUCUCCUGUCUCAGCCUCCCGAGUAGCUGGGACUACAGGCGCCCGCCACCACGCCUGGCUAUUUUUUUGUAUUUUUAGUAGAGGUGGGGUUUCACUGUGUUAGCCAGGAUGGUCUCGAUCUCCUGACCUCAUGAUCCGCCCGCGUCGGCCUCCCAAAGUGCUGGGAUUACAGGUGUGAGCCACCGCGCCCGGCCAUGGACUUUUCAAGGUAAAGAAAGACCAUUCAUAUGAAGUCAGAGUAAAAUGGGGAGUUUUAGAGGCUAUAGAGAGGAGUCACGAAAAUCAGGAAAAGUUAAAGAACAUGAAUGAAGGCAAAGAGCACAACCAACAGUGACAAAUGGUAUUAUUGCGUCAAAUAUGAUGAUGAUUGAAAAACACUGAAGUCAUGGACAUUGUGUCUGUGGGGCAAAAGUCUAAGUGGAUUGGCUUAAGAGAGGUUGAGAGGAGAGCGGGUGAGGAUAGAAAAGUCAUUCAAAGGUUUUUGCUACAACAUGGGAGCAAGACAAUGCAGAAAACAGGUUCAAGAUAAAUUUUAUAUUUUAUUUUAUAUAUAGAAUAGGAAAAAUACAGCACACAUCAAAGCAAAUGAAAAUGAUCCAGUAGAGAAAAUAGGAUGUAUAGAUGAAACAGGUGUUAAAGCAAACUAAAUAUGGCCUGAGAAUGACUCCAUACUUAUGUAUUUGAGUACUUGUGGAU